GAAAAUUAGACCUAAGGUUUUAAGAUCUUGGCUCUUCCAACUCCUCCAGAUACAGAGAAAAAUUGAUUGCCUCUCCUUCAUCUCCAGUCUUCAACGAGUCCUAUCAAAUUCCUAUCCUUUCUCGAUCAUCCCUUUCUAGCCACCAACUAUUUUGCUAUCAAAUACUUUCCACUCAAUCUCUAUACUAAAUAAUUUCCACUUAAUCAAAUACUUCUUUCGCUCUAGCCCCAAUCUUCAGAUCAAAUAGAUCAAUCAAUCCUCAAUUAAAUCUGUCGUUGCAGCCGCUACUCUAGUCACCGUGGACGAUUACACUCUUUUAUUCAUCCCUUUGAUUUCUGAUAAAGCUAGAUAGAUUUCUUAUUGAUGAUGCUUUCUGUUGUUGAUUUUUUGAUGAUGGAUUAAUUGCUAAUGAUGCUUGUUGGUUGCUGAUAAAGCCAAAGAUGGGUUCAUAAAGGUUUAUUUGAUUUUUUUGUUUUAAUAUAUGGGUUUUACCCGCCGACUCUGCUUUGCUAAUGAUGGAUUUUUUGUCGAUGAUGCUUGGUAAUAAAUCUCUAGGAUUCAUCUGAGUUCAUUUGAUUUUUGUUUUUUAUAAUGAUCCACGAAUUUUACCCGCAGACCCGUUAGUCCGUCGAGCUCGGGGACAGAUUGGAAUGAUCAUCCGUUUCAGCUCCGGGGUUGGAUACGGGAAAACCCGGAUGGGUCGACGGGCGAGGAUCGAGGGUUAGCAAUCCCUCCCCGCCAGGACCCGAUGCCCAGCCUAGACCCGAAACAUAUCGUUAUCCAUGUUCCUAUCUAUUCUGCCGAUGUGUAGUUUUCCAUAUUUCUUAGGAUGAUUCAAAACCCAAGCAAGGCAUUUUUCCCAUAGUUGUUCUCACCUUAGUUUUAUCCGUAACCAAUUAGUGGUCUAUUUGCAUCCGAGAUUUCCUAUAUCUUUUAGUUUGUUGUUCUGUUUCAUUCUAGUCUAGUACAAACUUCUCAAAUUUUGAUUGACUGACCAGCAAACCAAGGAUGAGUAGUGAAGGCCAAGUAGACCCAUGAGAAAUCUACUCCGAGGUUAUACCUCAAGAUAUUUGUUUGGUUCUGAUAUUUUUUGGUAUGGUUUGUGAUUCAAAUAGGCUUGUUGCAUACUACUAGUCCAAUUGAUGCUUUCAUGAUAGAACAUAGAUGUCCCAUUGUCCAUUCUUUGAUGCUUUGAUCAUAUUUGUCAUGAAUUGGACUUAGUACACUUGAUGAUGAACUCUUGUGGUAAUUGAUGCUAAUUUGUAAACUUAGGAUUUCCUUUGAGUUGGAUUGCUAGCUAAUUACCUAUGAUGCUUCUCAUUGGAUUUUCUCAUUUUUGUGCAUCUUACCUUAUGCCAUGGCUACUUGUGAGCUUUGUUGCUAAUAUGUGCUUAAGUGGGAUGAUUGGUUGGUAUGCUCUUGGUGUUAAGUUUUAGGAUACUCAUAUUUGUUGACUAUUAUAGGAUGGCUCCUAAAGGUAAGACUUCCAAGACUAACAAGAGGCAUAAGGGAAAUGAUGGUUCUUCUUCCUCAGGGCAAGCAGCUCAAGACACUCCCGCUCCUCAAGCUGCUCCACCUCAGCCGUACCACAUGUUUGAGAUUCCUAUUGUAGUGGAUACGCAUGACCUCCCGGCUAGUGAUAUUUCUCCUUCUUAGUGUCUUUGGGAUGAAAUCUUCAACUUUCUGGUUGGCUCACCGGCUUGGAAGCUUUAUGCAUCUCUCCUGCACCUUCCUGUUGACAAACAUAGCCACCUAGUUCUUGAAGAGUUCUCCAGCAAGGGGAGGCUUGCUCCCUUUCGAUCUUAUUGCAAGCAUUCCAUGAAUUUCUAGAGAGUGAUGAUGGUGACGCAUUCCAUGAAUUUCUAGAGAGUGAUGAUGGUGAAUGAGUACUCCAUGAAUUUCUAGAGAGGUGAGAUGUGAAAUGCUUUCAAAAGAGUUGAGGAGCAAAUCUAGAUUGUUCAGACAGUGACACACUGCAUUUAGCAGACCCACGACUGGUAGAUUGGCAUAUGGCAUAUUAUCAUGAUGCACACUUUGGGUUCCUUAACACCACCGCUGACUACCCACCAUCUCCUAAGGAUCGCUUUCAGGAUGCCUCAGCUGCAUACCCAAGAUACUACUUCCAUCAUAGGGAGGAGGUCAGCUAGUAUGGCUACUAUCCCCACUUUUCGCCACACCAGCCACCACCACCAUCGUUCCAGUGAUGUUUGCUUGCCUCUCUUUCUCUCAGACUUGAUCAUGUGUUUGUGUUUCCUUUGUUUGUGUUUUCUCAUAUAGACUUGUGUUUUGUUGUGUUGUAGUUUGGGAUUGUGUUUUUUUCGGAUGCAUGUUUUGAGAUUGUGGACUACUUAGCUAUUAUUUUGUAUUAUUUUAUGUGUUUCUUUUUGUCUUGGUCUUUCUUGAUGACUCUAGGUACUCGAUCCUGGUCCGCCUUCGCUCCUCUUCUUGUUUGGUACCCCUUUUCCCCUUAUUUCUUUUCACAUUGAAAACAAUGUGUUGUGCAAGUGUGGGGUGGGGAAUUGUGUUGUACUUUACUGGGUUUGGGAUCUUUCAUUACAUAUCUUGGAAAAAUAGCGCUUUUUUGUGACUUGUUCUUGCAUUUUGAAACUCCCUCUUGAAUUUGAAUCUAUGAUUGUCUAUGAAUGCAUACCUAGUGUGUUCAUACUGCUUGAUGAUGAAUAGGUUGUUGAGUAGAUCAUUUGUGGACUACCUCCUGUUUUCCUGAAAUUAGUUUGCUUCGAACUGGCACAUAUGGACGUUAUGAGUUUUCUCCUUUACUUGUUUGAUAUGUAUGGUUAAUUCUCCUUUUUGAACUUAUCUAUGGUAAUAUGAAGUGAAAAUGGAUGGUACGGAUCCGAAUGAGGUGUUAAAAGAGGCCAAUGUGCCAAAAAAAGAUCGUGAGGAAGGUCGUGAUUCAAACACGCGAGGCGGAUUUCGAUCCGCCACCCAUAUGCUCGCUACAUCGCGCUCUUCUUCCCAACCCUUCCAGGUGUGGAUACAGGUACUGGUGCCCAGUUUUUAGCCGGAUAUGAGCCCGAUCAGAAUCACAAACGCCUCAUUUGAAAAAAGCAGCCUUGCGAAAGAAAAGAAAAAGAGAGGAAGAAAAUUUAGUUGAAAACCAAAUACAAAACAAAGAAAAGCAUAAUAAAAAGAAGAGGGGAUGCUAGUAUACUUGGUGAUAGUUAUGUUUAUGUUAUGAUUAGGCAUCCCUUCCCUCAGGACGGGAAAAAUACCCGGCCAGGACUGUCCGUCCAUCCAUUUCUUCCUCUAGUACCACAAGACAUAAGUGCAUUGGAG
rnacentral:lncRNA from 1 species